CCCGGCCAAUCAGGGGGCGCACGGAACGCUGGGCGCCGGAAGAGGGCGGGCGCAAGAUGGCGGCGCCCACGGGUGCUGGGAGGAGCCGCUCAUGUCCGGGAACGGAGCGGUGUGGGGGCGCGUGCGGGGCCGCCUCCGCGCCUUCCCCGGGCGCCUAGCGGCCUGCGGGGCCGAGGCCGCGGCCUACGGCAGGUGCGUGCAGGCGUCCACGGCCCCGGGCGGCCGCCUGGCGAAGGACCUCUGUGCGCCGGAGUUCGAGGCUCUGCGGCGCUGCUUCGCCGCCGCGCGGAGAGUCACGGGUCGCGUGGAGCGCAUGGGGUUGGACAUGCUGCAGGAACCCGGCGCGCGAGGAGGGGGCCCUGGGCUGGGCCGGGAUGCCCGCGGCCCCCUGUGUCCCCCGGAGCUGCUGGUGCAGAGAACGCGACGCGGACAGGGCGGUUGAGCUCGGCGGACUCGGGGACCUCAGGCCGACCGUCCCCCGACGUUCCGGGAUCAUCCCGAGCGGGUACCUGUGCCUUGGCCGCUUGUCCGGGAGAGGACGGUGCGAGGCUCCCUUCCCGGGGGCUCGGAGAUCUUGCACCUCCCCGGGGACGCUCGGGCCUGGUCCUGCCGCCAGCCAGCACCGCCCCCCCCCUCGCCAGCCUCGCAUAUGACGUGGUCCGUGCAGCCAGGCACACCUGUCCCCUGCGCUUCCUCCCCGGUUCUGCGGUCUUCCCCGGGGGACUCUCCGCUCUGCGGCUGCGGCUUGGAAGAAGCUCCGUGGAAGGACCAGACACGUUCCCUACACACAGGCCAGAAAGACCCUGAGGGGAGGCCUUUAGGAUGGACGAGCAAGCACUGCACUUGUUUGCUGCCCCAGGGAGCAGAGCCGGGCGCCUGGUGCUGACGGCCGCCAAGGGCAAACGUCCAAAACGUCUGACACUUUUAGAGCUAGAAGGACUGCAGGCGCGUCGGGGAAGUGGUGGGCGAGCGGGCGUGGGUUUUUCUGCCUCGCGUGUGAGGCUUUGGGUUAGAGUAAGAUGCUGAAGCGAUAAUAAAGACCACGGCAGACCACGUGAGAGCUGUCCUGUUGGACGCGGCUGUGGGAACACGCUG